rnacentral:misc_RNA from 1 species
UCCGUGUUAACCACGGCAGUCUCCUUAGAGUGCCCAACUUAAUGCUGGCAACUAAGAACAAGGGUUGCGCUCGUUGCGGGACUUAACCCAACAUGUCACCACACGAGCUGACGACAGCCAUGCAGCACCUGUCUCUCUGUCGUAUUGCUACGAAAGACGUAUCUCUACGUUUGUCAGAGGAUGUCAAACCCAGGUAAGGUUCUUCGCGUUGCUUCGAAUUAAACCACAUGAUCCACCGCUUGUGCGGGCCCCCGUCAAUUCCUUUGAGUUUUAGUCUUGCGACCGUACUUCCCAGGCGGGGUACUUAGUGCGUUAGCUCCGACUCGGCAGGGGUCAAGUCCCACCAAGUCUAGUACCCAUCGUUUACAGCGUGGACUAC